UACGUAGGUGGCAAGCGAUACUCGGAAUUACUGGGCGUAAAGGGCUCGUAGGCGGCCAACUAAGUCAGACGUGAAAUCCCUCGGCUUAACCGGGGAACUGCGUCUGAUACUGGAUGGCUUGAGUUUGGGAGAGGGAUGCGGAAUUCCAGGUGUAGCGGUGAAAUGCGUAGAUAUCUGGAGGAACACCGGUGGCGAAGGCGGCAUCCUGGACCAACACUGACGCUGAGUGAGCGAAAGCCAGGGGAGCAAACGGG
rnacentral:rRNA from 1 species